rnacentral:miRNA from 1 species
UACGGUAACCGUAGAACCCAUC